rnacentral:rRNA from 1 species
UGCUAGUGGUAAUGAAGCGAAAGCUAAGUGACCGCAACGGAGGCUAGCACAGGUGCUGCAUGGCUGUCGUCAGCUCGUGUCGUGAGAUGUUCGGUUAAGUCCGCUAACGAGCGCAACCCUCGCUGUGUGUUACAAGUGUCACACAGGACCGCCGGUCUUAAGCCGGAGGAAGGUGGGGAUGACGUCAAGUCAGCAUGGCCUUUAUGUCCAGGGCUACACACACGCUACAAUGGUCAGCACAAUAGGUAGCCAAGCCGCGAGGUGGAGCCAAUCCUCAAAGCUGGCCUCAGUUCAGAUCGCAGGCUGCAACCCGCCUGCGUGAAGCCGGAGUUGCUAGUAACCGCAGGUCAGCUAUACUGCGGUGAAUACGUUCCCGGGGCUU